rnacentral:lncRNA from 10 species
GAGUGUGUAGACCUUGUACAAUAGAGCUUAUAGGCUAAUGAGAAGACAGGAAGAAACAACAGGAACACAUAUAGCUGGAAUGCAGAUGGGAUCUGUGCUACUUACGCUAGCCAUGGGAUGAUUAGAACAAGAUAAGAGACAUGAGGAAGACUUCUUCAAGGAGGUGCUCAAGCCAUGUUUUGGAAAAGAGAACUCAAGGUCUGGCAGGGAGAAAGGAGCAAGACUGCCUGGCAGCUCUUUAGAAAGUUGUGUGACGUAUGAACCAGUUCUUCCCUAUAUGAGAGUGUACCGUACAUCGCAGGCUGUCCAGCAUCGACCCCACUGAUGGAUGCUAGUAGUCCUCCCCGCCAGCACUCAACAUUGUGACGAGACCCCAGUAGAGAUGGUCCCCAAGCAUGCUAACCAUGAAGCAGUGAUAUCGCACAGCACCUGCUUCCAGCAGCCCGGAGCCAAGGGGCAAAAUGGAAAGAGUCAGCAUUUCUCUUUUAGGUUCUCUGCCUCUCUAGUGUGUAAGCUUUUAACCCCCACUACGCGUCUUCGUUCCAUUCUCCUCCAGUACCCAUUUUAGUGAGCUUCUGUUGUUUCUGCCCCAGGAUAUCUCUAACAAAGAACCAAGAUAUUUAUCAGGUACAAAGGUCAAGUCUCUUCUUAUGCCAUGGAUUCCAGCCUUCUUAGGAAAGAGUAGACUUUGAGUCUUUGCUUCAGAUGCAGAUCAAGAUGUGGCAACCUGUUGUGGAGAACUGGGUCCCUUGAGCCUGUGCUGUCUCUUUUUUUCUGGUGGCUUUGUCAUUUGGAACAAUGCAUAAUGGGCUGGAGGCUGAGAAACUCUGAGCUGAGGUGACACAAGGAUGACAGGAACAGUUAUGGGCAAGUAGAGCUGCAGCUGUCUGGCGCCACUGUAAUGCUGUCUCCUCCUCUGAGUGAGUUCAUCCUGGAAACAUUUUCUCCCAUAAGACAUGCACAGGUCUUACGUUUACAUGUUUCACUGAAAGAAAUUUGAUUCCACUGCUGGGAUGACAAGGAAGACUGAAGAAACCUAAUCCUAGGUGCUGCCACUGGGACAAACAAGAAGCACCAGACACAGUGCUGUUUUAGGGUGGGGCAGAAUUAUGCUGAGGGAAAAGUUAUUAUCACUCUUUAAGGCCAAGGAAACCACAAUUUUUAAAGAAGCUUCUAGAAAUUCUACCCAGUAGAAAAUAAAGAUAAACUUCUGUAAGGAAUUUCACAAGUGUGAGCCACUGUGCCCGGCCUAUGCCUCAAUUUCUUCCUGCCUUACUAUAGGUACAUCAUAUUUAUUUAAUUCCCUAAGUCCCUCCUCAACAGAUUUUAUUCUACUACUGAAAUCCAGUCUGCAGAAACUAAAAGUUGUAUAGUGGAUAUGAAAUUUAUAUAACCACCAUAGUUCAGUAUCUCAGGGGUAAAAAUAAAAUGUGACUAUUUAUUUCCACAAAACUGAACCUAUCAAUUCAAGAUAACUUUUGCUUUAAAACUCACGACUCCUUGAAUCAAUAGUCAAUUUCUGGAUCUUUCUCCUCCUCCUAGGUCCUCUUCUCCCUGAAGGCUGUCACAGUUCCUGUGCAGAGAGAGAGGGCACUGCAGCACCCAGGCGCUGACUGCCUUUUGUCAGUCUCAUUUGCAGGCCCCCAGCUGGAGAACCCAGGAGGAAGAGGAAAAAAGUUUUUUCCUCCUCUACACUCCCCAUGCAUGACUAAAGAGUAGGAGGAGUCAGCAAGGCAGACAUAUAUAGUACCCAGGAGGUGGACAAACAACUGCCUUGGUGGAAACUCUGUCCUUUCUGGACUUAUCCUGGUGCCACUGAGACUGUGCAGAUUUAGAUCUACAAUCCACCUGGAAUUGAUUUUUGUAUAUGGAGUGAGGUCCCACACUUACAGGGAAAGCAUCACCCGAAAGUGAGAAUGCCUAGAGGCAGGAAUCAUGGAGGCUUCCUUAACCGUCUGUCUGCAACAGCAGGUGCUAGAGAUGACACUGCAGAGUAGAGAACAAAGGAAUCUUAGUAAUUGUUCAAUCCAAUCUCCACACUUUAAAGAUGAAGAAACUGGUAUUGAGAAAAAUACACAGCUUAUCCAAGGUUGCACUGCUGGUUGGUAGCUGAGAUGAAUUUAGAACCCACAUCUGAUGACUACACCAUAUUGCUCCCAGUUUUCCUGUCUGUUCCACAUGUAAAAGUCUGACUCUUCACUUCUCCUUUGAGUAUAUAGACUUUUAACAUUUUUGUAUGUCAAGAUGGACUUUUCCUCAUACCCAGCCCCUGCCUUUUCUCCUCCCUUCAUACCUUGCAGGAUCUUUAACAGAAUUUAAAAGGAGUUUUUUGUUUUGUUUUGAUGUAUCUAAUAAAAGUCAAGGGAGGGAGAGGGCCAGUAUAAGCAAGAGUACAGUUUCCUAGUUUGUAGAUGCGGUAGUCUGAGGAAUCAGAAACACACAAAGGUUUGGAGAACUGGUACAUGCUCCCAGGUGGGAAGCCAGGACUCUUGGUAGGAUCUUGAGGACAAGGCAAAGGACAAUAAGAGAGCGAGGGGAUCCUAGAGGUGGAAUCAAGGAAGAGAAACUAGAGAGAGAAAAAGGAACUGGCUAUCCAUCCAUGAUGGAUCCUGUGUGGACUGAUGGGUGGCUUGGCAUCAUCCUUUAGUAGACUUCAUGUGGUUGAAUAAUUGGCCAAUGGAAGGAAUUUCUUUUUUGGUAACAGACUCUGUGUGUACAGUUAUGGGUCUUAAUUUAUAAUAAAAGGUUACAUUGAAAAUUG